rnacentral:rRNA from 1 species
GGGUUGUGAGGUUAAGCGACUAAGCGUACACGGUGGAUGCCCUGGCAGUCAGAGGCGAUGAAGGACGUGCUAAUCUGCGAAAAGCGUCGGUAAGGUGAUAUGAACCGUUACAGCCGGCGAUGUCCGAAUGGGGAAACCCAGUGCAAUUCGUUGCACUAUCGUUAACUGAAUACAUAGGUUAACGAGGCGAACCGGGGGAACUGAAACAUCUAAGUACCCCGAGGAAAAGAAAUCAACCGAGAUUCCCCCAGUAGCGGCGAGCGAACGGGGAGCAGCCCAGAGUCUGAAUCAGCUUGUGUGUUAGUGGAACGGUCUGGAAAGUCCGACGGUACAGGGUGAUAGUCCCGUACACCAAAAUGCACAGGCUGUGAACUCGAAGAGUAGGGCGGGACACGUGGUAUCCUGUCUGAAUAUGGGGGGACCAUCCUCCAAGGCUAAAUACUCCUGACUGACCGAUAGUGAACCAGUACCGUGAGGGAAAGGCGAAAAGAACCCCGGCGAGGGGAGUGAAAAAGAACCUGAAACCGUGUACGUACAAGCAGUGGGAGCACCUUCGGGUGUGACUGCGUACCUUUUGUAUAAUGGGUCAGCGACUUAUAUUCUGUAGCAAGGUUAACCGUAUAGGGGAGCCGCAGGGAAACCGAGUCUUAACUGGGCGUUAAGUUGCAGGGUAUAGACCCGAAACCCGGUGAUCUAGCCAUGGGCAGGUUGAAGGUUGGGUAACACUAACUGGAGGACCGAACCGACUAAUGUUGAAAAAUUAGCGGAUGACUUGUGGCUGGGGGUGAAAGGCCAAUCAAACCGGGAGAUAGCUGGUUCUCCCCGAAAGCUAUUUAGGUAGCGCCUCGUGAAUUCAUCUUCGGGGGUAGAGCACUGUUUCGGCUAGGGGGUCAUCCCGACUUACCAACCCGAUGCAAACUACGAAUACCGAAGAAUGUUAUCACGGGAGACACACGGCGGGUGCUAACGUCCGUCGUGAAGAGGGAAACAACCCAGACCGCCAGCUAAGGUCCCAAAGUCACAGUUAAGUGGGAAACGAUGUGGGAAGGCACAGACAGCCAGGAUGUUGGCUUAGAAGCAGCCAUCAUUUAAAGAAAGCGUAAUAGCUCACUGGUCGAGUCGGCCUGCGCGGAAGAUGUAACGGGGCUAAACUGUGCACCGAAGCUGCGGCAGCGACACUAUGUGUUGUUGGGUAGGGGAGCGUUCUGUAAGCCUGCGAAGGUGGCCUGUGAGGGUUGCUGGAGGUAUCAGAAGUGCGAAUGCUGACAUAAGUAACGAUAAUGCGGGUGAAAAGCCCGCACGCCGGAAGACCAAGGGUUCCUGUCCAACGUUAAUCGGGGCAGGGUGAGUCGACCCCUAAGGCGAGGCCGAAAGGCGUAGUCGAUGGGAAACAGGUUAAUAUUCCUGUACUUGGUGUUACUGCGAAGGGGGGACGGAGAAGGCUAUGUUAGCCGGGCGACGGUUGUCCCGGUUUAAGCAUGUAGGCGGAGGUUCCAGGUAAAUCCGGUACCUUUUAACGCUGAGGUGUGAUGACGAGGCACUACGGUGCUGAAGUAACAAAUGCCCUGCUUCCAGGAAAAGCCUCUAAGCAUCAGGUAACAUUGAAUCGUACCCCAAACCGACACAGGUGGUCAGGUAGAGAAUACCAAGGCGCUUGAGAGAACUCGGGUGAAGGAACUAGGCAAAAUGGUGCCGUAACUUCGGGAGAAGGCACGCUGAUAUGUAGGUGAAGUCCCUGCGGAUGGAGCUGAAAUCAGUCGAAGAUACCAGCUGGCUGCAACUGUUUAUUAAAAACACAGCACUGUGCAAACACGAAAGUGGACGUAUACGGUGUGACGCCUGCCCGGUGCCGGAAGGUUAAUUGAUGGGGUUAUCCGUAAGGAGAAGCUCUUGAUCGAAGCCCCGGUAAACGGCGGCCGUAACUAUAACGGUCCUAAGGUAGCGAAAUUCCUUGUCGGGUAAGUUCCGACCUGCACGAAUGGCGUAAUGAUGGCCAGGCUGUCUCCACCCGAGACUCAGUGAAAUUGAACUCGCUGUGAAGAUGCAGUGUACCCGCGGCAAGACGGAAAGACCCCGUGAACCUUUACUAUAGCUUGACACUGAACAUUGAGCCUUGAUGUGUAGGAUAGGUGGGAGGCUUUGAAGCGUGGACGCCAGUCUGCGUGGAGCCAACCUUGAAAUACCACCCUUUAAUGUUUGAUGUUCUAACGUUGGCCCCUAAUCGGGGUUGCGGACAGUGUCUGGUGGGUAGUUUGACUGGGGCGGUCUCCUCCCAAAGAGUAACGGAGGAGCACGAAGGUUAGCUAAUCCUGGUCGGACAUCAGGAGGUUAGUGCAAUGGCAUAAGCUAGCUUGACUGCGAGCGUGACGGCGCGAGCAGGUGCGAAAGCAGGUCAUAGUGAUCCGGUGGUUCUGAAUGGAAGGGCCAUCGCUCAACGGAUAAAAGGUACUCCGGGGAUAACAGGCUGAUACCGCCCAAGAGUUCAUAUCGACGGCGGUGUUUGGCACCUCGAUGUCGGCUCAUCACAUCCUGGGGCUGAAGUAGGUCCCAAGGGUAUGGCUGUUCGCCAUUUAAAGUGGUACGCGAGCUGGGUUUAGAACGUCGUGAGACAGUUCGGUCCCUAUCUGCCGUGGGCGCUGGAGAAUUGAGGGGGGCUGCUCCUAGUACGAGAGGACCGGAGUGGACGCAUCACUGGUGUUCGGGUUGUCAUGCCAAUGGCAUUGCCCGGUAGCUAAAUGCGGAAGAGAUAAGUGCUGAAAGCAUCUAAGCACGAAACUUGCCCCGAGAUGAGUUCUCCCUGAGACUUUAAGUCUCCUGAAGGAACGUUAAAGACGAUGACGUUGAUAGGUCGGGUGUGUAAGCGUAGCGAUACGUUGAGCUAACCGAUACUAAUGAACCGUGAGGCUUAACCUUACAAC